GAUGAAGAACGCAGCGAAAUGCGAUAACUAAUGUGAAUUGCAGAAUUCCGUGAAUCAUCGAGUCUUUGAACGCACAUUGCGCCCCCUGGUAUUCCGGGGGGCAUGCCUGUCCGAGCGUCAUUACAACCCUCAAGCUCAGCUUGGUGUUGGGCCCCGCCGCCCCGGCGGGCCCUAAAGUCAGUGGCGGUGCCGUCCGGCUCCGAGCGUAGUAAUUCUUCUCGCUCUGGAGGUCCGGUCGUGUGCUCGCCAGCAACCCCCAAUUUUUUUCAGGUUGACCUCGGAUCAGGUAGGGAUACCCGCUGAACUUAAGCAUAUCAAUAAGCGGAGGA
rnacentral:misc_RNA from 1 species